UACGUAGGGUGCGAGCGUUGUCCGGAAUUAUUGGGCGUAAAGAGCUCGUAGGCGGUCUGUCGCGUCGAUCGUGAAAACUUGGGGCUUAACCCUGAGCUUGCGGUCGAUACGGGCAUGACUGGAGUUCGGCAGGGGAGACUGGAAUUCCUGGUGUAGCGGUGAAAUGCGCAGAUAUCAGGAGGAACACCGGUGGCGAAGGCGGGUCUCUGGGCCGAUACUGACGCUGAGUAGCGAAAGCGUGGGGAUCAAACAGG
rnacentral:rRNA from 1 species